AUUGAACGCUGGCGGCAUGCUUUACACACGCAAGUCGAACGGUAACAGGUUAAGCUGACGAGUGGCGAACGGGUGAGUAAUGCAUCGGAACGUGCCCGGUCGUGGGGGAUAACUCAGCGAAAGCUGCGCUAAUACCGCAUACGAUCUAAGGAUGAAAGCGGGGGACCGUAAGGCCUCGCGCGAUCGGAGCGGCCGAUGUCAGAUUAGGUAGUUGGUGGGGUAAAGGCUCACCAAGCCAACGAUCUGUAGCUGGUCUGAGAGGACGACCAGCCACACUGGGACUGAGACACGGCCCAGACUCCUACGGGAGGCAGCAGUGGGGAAUUUUGGACAAUGGGCGAAAGCCUGAUCCAGCAAUGCCGCGUGCAGGAAGAAGGCCUUCGGGUUGUAAACUGCUUUUGUACGGAGCGAAAAGGUCUCCUCUAAUACAGGGGGCUCAUGACGGUACCGUAAGAAUAAGCACCGGCUAACUACGUGCCAGCAGCCGCAGUAA
rnacentral:rRNA from 1 species